CUAAGUGGCGGACGGGUGAGUAAUGUAUAGUUAAUCUGCCCUUUAGAGGGGGAUAACAGUUGGAAACGACUGCUAAUACCCCAUACUCCUUUUAUAUUAAUUGUAAUUGGGAAACGUUUUUUCGCUAAAGGAUGAGACUAUAUGGUAUCAGGUAGUUGGUGGGGUAAGAGCCUACCAAGCCAAUGACGCCUAGCUGGUCUGAGAGGAUGAUCAGCCACACUGGAACUGAGACACGGUCCAG
rnacentral:rRNA from 1 species